GAAAUAUGUCAUCAAAAUUAAGCUUCUAACUUAAAUUUUUAGCGGUGAAAUUCCGUUAAUAUUUCU
rnacentral:tRNA from 1 species